UACGAAGGGGGCUAGCGUUGCUCGGAAUCACUGGGCGUAAAGGGUGCGUAGGCGGGUCUUUAAGUCAGGGGUGAAAUCCUGGAGCUCAACUCCAGAACUGCCUUUGAUACUGGAGAUCUUGAGUUCGGGAGAGGUGAGUGGAACUGCGAGUGUAGAGGUGAAAUUCGUAGAUAUUCGCAAGAACACCAGUGGCGAAGGCGGCUCACUGGCCCGAUACUGACGCUGAUGCACGAAAGCGUGGGGAGCAAACAGG
rnacentral:rRNA from 1 species